UUAUAGCCAACUCUUCCCUAAUUUUAAUUUUUCUAAGAUCUUCUCAGGACCUUUCAUGUAAGUUUUGAGAGCUUCAGGGUAUUGAGACCUGAAAUUGGGAGCAAAUGACUUGGUUCAGGCCCCUCAUCUUGUAGGUGAAGGGACUGAACCCAGGUAGAUUUUAAGGUGUGUGUUUAAGAUCACAUUCUGAACUGGGAAACAGGACUUAAAUCUAUUUCUGAUCUUGAAGAAUGCUACAGAUAAGGUGUAAGGAAAGCGAGCCAGGGGGCAAAAUGCUUAUUAUGGAACUUUAAGCCUUUGAAGCAUAAUUUAGACUACCCAAGUUGAUGAUAGUUAGGGAUAAGAAGUAAUAAGAUAAAUUGACACAUAGUGUUUGAACUAACAUUUAUAAUGAUUGCUGUGUGCUAGAGACUUUAUUUUGUUUUAUUAAAUUCAUAUGUUAGCUCUAAGACGUAUUUACUGUUGUUCUCUUUUUGCAGAAGAGAAAACUGAGACUUAGAGAGUGACUUGCUCUAGUCAUUUCACUCUUAAGACGUGGAAGAAGGAAUGGAACCUAGGGCAGGACUGCGUUGGUUGUACUGCAGCUUGGGACAGUGCUCCACAGACUUCUGUAAUGGUGCCACUCCAUCAUGUUUAAAAGGGAAGAAAGAUGUACUUCAAAGCUGUAUG